rnacentral:lncRNA from 1 species
AUUACUUUUAAGAAGUUGUUAUAAUCUAUAGGACAAACAAAGAGACAUUUAGAAAAUACUCCCAUAAUUGAAGUUGUAUAAAUAAAGAUUGUUAUAUACAAUAACUUGAGUGCCAAAAACCAUCAUUGAGUAUGCAAACAAAAAUCAAUUAAGAAAGUAUAUCAAACACACUUUUAAAUAUUCCUUUUAAUUGAUUAGGAGCCUUGUUAAUUAGCUAGGAUGACAACAAAUGUGCAAUGAAAAAUGAAUGUCAUAGUGAUGACAUUGCAAAAAUAAUAUACAUCUAAGUUGAUGUUGUAGCAACUAGACUACCAAAAUACUUGGCAAAACUAGGAGUUAUCAACUCUUG